UACGGGGGGGGCAAGCGUUGUUCGGAAUUACUGGGCGUAAAGGGCUCGUAGGCGGCCAACUAAGUCCGACGUGAAAUCCCCAGGCUUAACCUGGGAACUGCGUCGGAUACUGGAUGGCUUGAAUCCGGGAGAGGGAUGCGGAAUUCCAGGUGUAGCGGUGAAAUGCGUAGAUAUCGGGAGGAACACCAGUGGCGAAGGCGACUUCCUGGCCUGUUCUUGACGCUGAGGCGCGAAAGCUAGGGUAGCAAACGGG
rnacentral:rRNA from 1 species